rnacentral:lncRNA from 1 species
GCCGUACAUGUAAAGCAGCAGAAGAUGUCAGCGGAAACAAUUGGCCUCCUGGUUGUAACCGCGUAACCAGCAGUAGUUUUGGAACGGAAUCUCGACCUCCCUUAGGCCCUUAUUGCGAAGCAGUUAAUAACAGCUCUUAUCCGAAUCGUACAUGGAUCGGUUUGAAUUUGAAUAGGCGGAACUGCACAUUAUGCUGCGCUGGGAAAAACCAUUCUGGGGAUAUACACUACAAUAUAUCAUCAUUGCCGAAUUCUUUAUGUACGAAGCUGAAAAAACCAUCGACCAAGAGUCGCCAGAGAAAAAAGACAAAGAAGUAAUGUCCGCUUCAAUUCAAGAUCGCUGCGAACGAUCAUUGCAUGAAGAAGAAAUUCUUUAAAUAAAUAUGCAACAUAAGAAGUUCGCGCUAGAA